UACGAAGGGGGCUAGCGUUGCUCGGAAUCAUUGGGCGUAAAGAGCGUGUAGGCGGCCUGGUAGGUCAGCUGUGAAAACUCGAGGCUCAACCUCGAGACGCCGGUUGAAACCAUCAGGCUAGAGUCCGGAAGAGGAGAGUGGAAUUCCCGGUGUAGCGGUGAAAUGCGCAGAUAUCGGGAAGAACACCCGUGGCUAAGGCGGCUCUCUAGUACGGUACUGACGCUGAGACGCGAAAGCGUGGGGAGCGAACAGG
rnacentral:rRNA from 1 species